rnacentral:rRNA from 1 species
UACGUAGGGCGCAAGCGUUGUCCGGAAUUAUUGGGCGUAAAGAGCGUGUAGGCGGCUAGGUAGGUCCGUUGUGAAAACUCGAGGCUCAACCUCGAGACGUCGAUGGGAACCAUCUAGCUAGAGUCCGGAAGAGGAGAGUGGAAUUCCUGGUGUAGCGGUGAAAUGCGCAGAUAUCAGGAAGAACACCCGUGGCGAAGGCGGCUCUCUGGUACGUGACUGACGCUGAGACGCGAAAGCGUGGGGAGCAAACAGG